UAGCUGCGUAUGAAAAGCCGGUUGAGAGUUUAGUAGGUAGAGAACACAGAAGUGUUUCUGUGUCUAAUGAUCUGGGCAAGGGCUUCUGAAUACGAGACAGCAGCUGAGAAUGCAAUGGAAGGGCUGCACAGCUUGCCAAGCCAGACAUCAAGACAUCCUGCAUGUGGGUUAGGGUCCAUGAGCCCACACAUAUCCCUUCCACUUGGGGACUAUGAAGACCACCUUGACUAAGUCAUAGAAGAUGAGUUGUCCUGACCCCGUGGUCUGUUAUACCUCUCCCCUGUCUCUUUCCUACUCACACAUCUGAGUGCCCUCUGAACUUUUAAUUCUCUUCCAGAAGGGCUGAUGUUUGGACUUAGCCUAUUCCCUGCAUGUCUGAUGGAACUCUCAGUUCAUCCCAAAUAUCCGUCUCUGAUUCUGCCAUUCCCUCGGUGGGCUCAAGUAAGGGAAAGCCCAAACGAAGUUUGCAGGAGAGCUGCUAACAGAGUCUGACAAAACUUUUUGACAGAGAAAAAAAAAAGAAUGAAUCUCAAUCUCUUCCCAUUGUUGACUGCUCUAAGGAAAACGAUCUUUGGCAAAACCCAAAUAUUGGUGCUGACGACAGUUAGUAGAAGCUCCUGCAUCCGGUGUCUGUUCUCUGGAACUCAUGCACUUAAAAAUCUAGACCACAAUGAGAUGCUAUUCAGAGCGAAGUGUCAAUAACCAACCUUGGUGGCAUCCAUCUAUUUGGAAAAUCCAAAGGAAGAAUAAGAAAGACCAUCAUACUGUCUCAGAGGUAGCAAGAACUUGAAUGACAGCAAACCCACAAGCUGUGAGAAGACCAAUGAGAAGGGCGAAUGACCGAAAUGUGUGGGCUUUAGGGAUCACUGCCCACUGCUCUUCUCUGUUCUAGCCAACCAUACCAGAGACUAUGCGCUGAUUUAGUGGAGCCAGAAUUUUUUAUCUUCAAGAAAAUCAAGAAAUCUAGCACUGCCUUGUAAAAGCUGGAAGCAAGUUUUUAAAAUAAAUAUAAUACACUGUGAAGGCCAAAGGAAACUCUUCUGUAGGGCGGAUCCUGGUAGUUUGGGAUCUCUUCUUUAAAGAUUAAAAACCACGAGUGUAAAACUUACAGAUUAACGUGGGUGGGAGUUGGGGUGACAAAAAUGGGAGUCUGGCGGUUGUAUACAUUAAGACAGACUGGAUCUUCUCAAUAAAGAUUUAUAGAGAGAA